AUGGCUGUCGUCAGCUCGUGUCGUGAGAUGUUGGGUUAAGUCCCGCAACGAGCGCAACCCCCGUCCUUAGUUGCUACCAUUUAGUUGAGCACUCUAAGGAGACUGCCGGUGAUAAGCCGCGAGGAAGGUGGGGAUGACGUCAAGUCCUCAUGGCCCUUACGGGCUGGGCUACACACGUGCUACAAUGGCGGUGACAAUGGGAUGCUAAGGGGCGACCCUUCGCAAAUCUCAAAGAGCCGUCUCAGUUCGGAUUGGGCUCUGCAACUCGAGCCCAUGAAGUUGGAAUCGCUAGUAAUCGUGGAUCAGCACGCCACGGUGAAUACGUUCCCGGGCCUUGUACACACCGCCCGUCACACCAUGGGAGUUGGUUUUACCUGAAGACGGUGCGCUAACCGCAAGGAGGCAGCCGGCCACGGUAG
rnacentral:rRNA from 1 species